AUGCACGCUGGCGGCGUGCCUCAUACAUGCCAGUCGAGCGAACGGACGAGAAGCUUGCUUCUCUGAUGUUAGCGGCGGACGGGUGAGUAACACGUGGAUAACCUACCUAUAAGACUGGGAUAACUUCGGGAAACCGGAGCUAAUACCGGAUGAUAUUUUGAACCGCAUGGUUCAAAAGUGAAAGACGGUCUUGCUGUCACUUAUAGAUGGAUCCGCGCUGCAUUAGCUAGUUGGUAAGGUAACGGCUUACCAAGGCAACGAUGCAUAGCCGACCUGAGAGGGUGAUCGGCCACACUGGAACUGAGACACGGUCCAGGCUCCUACGGGAGGCAGCAGUAGGGAAUCUUCCGCAAUGGGCGAAAGCCUGACGGAGCAACGCCGCGUGAGUGAUGAAGGUCUUCGGAUCGUAAAACUCUGUUAUUAGGGAAGAACAUAUGUGUAAGUAACUGUGCACAUCUUGACGGUACCUAAUCAGAAAGCCACGGCUAACUACGUG
rnacentral:rRNA from 1 species